AUACGGAGGGGGCUAGCGUUGUUCGGAAUUACUGGGCGUAAAGCGCACGUAGGCGGACCGAUCAGUUGGGGGUGAAAUCCCAGGGCUCAACCCUGGAACUGCCUCCAAUACUGUCGGUCUUGAGAUCGGAAGAGGUGAGUGGAAUUCCUAGUGUAGAGGUGAAAUUCGUAGAUAUUAGGAGGAACACCAGUGGCGAAGGCGGCUCACUGGACCGAUACUGACGCUGAGGUGCGAAAGCGUGGGGAGCAAACAGGAUUAGAAACCCUAGUAGUCCC
rnacentral:rRNA from 1 species